UUGACCCCUGCUGGGCUGGACUUGAGGUUCACGGCCACAUGGUUCCCUGUGCAGCGCCCCGUGGGUCCCAGCAGACACAGCACCAUAAUGGGAGACUUCUAGGCCGAGAGGGCAAAAGCUUCAAACAGCAGGCGGCAGCACCAGCUGUGUGGUGGCUGGGAGCUGGUCUAGCCUCCGCCUUCCUUCCAGAAGUCUCCCCAGCAUCCUCAACCAGGUCAGAUCCCCCAGCAUGACUCAACAUCCCUUCGACUUCCCUUCUGCAGCCCUGGCAGGAGCUGUGUUGCAGCGGUGCCUGUUGCAUGUGGAAGUCUCCCUUCAAGGUUUGCAUCAUGGAACUCACCUGGCCCAACCUCUCAGGGAGGAAAAUUCCAACCAGAGAGGGACGUCCAGGCCAGGGCUCUACUCCGGACAGAGACCCCGUCCCUGCAAGGGACAGCCAGUCAGCCCUGUCCAGCCCCGUCCAGCCCUGUCCAGCCCUGUGCAGCCAGUCCAGCCAUUCUGACUGCAGCGUUGAAACCUCUUAUCCACGUGUGGUGGGAGCCCCCUGCUGACCAGAGUGAGGAGUGGCAGAAUGGCAGGAAGGUGCGUGUCCUGUCCCCAGCCUGGCUGCCAAUACUUGAGCACCCUCCUCAGAGAAGCCUCCCCGGAUUGCCCUCUGCCCAGCCCAGCCCAGCCCAGCCCUCCACUGCCUGCUCUGCGUCCUCUGGAACAGCGUGUGUUCAGUACUGCAGGGAUGUGAGCCCCAUGCAGGCAGGGAUUCGGCCUUGUUGUACCAGUGUCUGGGACAGUGCCUGGCACAACGUAGGUGCUCCAUAAACAUUUGUGGGAUGUACAAAUAAAUGAAGGUUAUUGAAUUCAAGCUCCUCCGUUACCCACCAAGUGAUCCUUGGAGCAGCAGUGCUUGCACUCCUCCAGCAACGGGGAACAUUCUACUCACCUCCCG
rnacentral:lncRNA from 10 species